rnacentral:misc_RNA from 1 species
AACGGUCUAUACCUGCGGUACCUGCGGAGGGAUCAUUAAUGAGAAACUGCCCCUCGCGGGUAGAUCUCCCACCCUUUGUAAACUUACCUUUGUUGCUUUGGCAGGCCCGUCUCCGGACCGCCGGCUUCGGCUGGCCAAUGCCUGCCAGAGGAUUCUAAAACUCUGUCUGUCAGUGUUGUCUGAGUCUAUAUACAAUCGUUAAAACUUUUAACAAUGGAUCUCUAGAUCGGAAGAGCACAC